CGACAGCCCCACGUUCUGCAGGGAGGGAGAACGUUGGCAUGGAACCCACCAGAGAUGGAGACCACCAGGAUGGGAUGGAUCCCACCAGGGAUUGAUCCCACCAGGAUGGGAUGGAUGGAUGGAGCCCACCAGGGAUGGGAUGGGAUGGAGCCCACCAGGAUGGGAUGGAUGGAGCCCACCAAGGUGGGAUGGGAUGGGAUGGGAUGGAUCCCACCAGGAUGGAUAGGUCCUGCCAGGGAUGGGUCCCACCAGGAUGGGAUGGAUGGAUCCCACCAGGAUGGGAUGGGAUGGGAUGGGAUGGGAUGGGAUGGGAUGGGAUGGGAUGGAUCCCACCAGGGAUGGUCCUACCAGGGAUGGGUCCCACCAGGGAUGGGUCCCACCAGGAUGGGAUGGGUUCUACCAGGAUGGAUUCCACCAGGGUGGGAUGGAUGGAUCCCAGGGAUGGGAUGGAUCCCACCAGGGUGGGAUGGGAUGGGUUGGGUCCCACCAGGGUGGGAUGGAUCCCACCAGGGAUGGGUCCAACUAGGAUGGGAUGGAUGGAUCCCACCAGGGAUGGAUCCCACGAGGGAUGGGAUGGGAUGGAUCCCACCAGGAUGGAUGGAUCCAACCAGGAUGGAGCCCACCAGGGAUGGAUCCUACCAAGAUGGGAUGGAUCCCACCAGGGAUGGGAUGGAUGGAUCCCACCAGGAUGGGAGGGUCCCGCCAGGGAUGGAUCCCACCAAGAUGGGAUGGAUGAGUCCCACCAGGGAUGGAUGGGUCCCACCAAGGUGGGAUGGAUCGCAGGGAUAGAUGGAUCCCACCAGAGCGGGAUGGGUUCCACCAGGAUCGGAUGGGAUGGGAUGGGUCCUACCAGGAUGGGAUGGAUGGAUCCCAGGGAUGGAUCGGUCCUACCAGGGAUGGGUCCCACCAGGAUGGGAUGGAUGGGUCCCACCAGGGAUGGAUGGAUCCCACCAGGGAUGGAUCCCACCUGGAUGGGAUGGGUCCCACCAGGAUUCCCAGAGAAUCCCUGGGAGCAUCCAAGGGUGGGUUUGGAUCACCCUGGGAUGGUGGGAAUUGGGAUUGAAGCUCCACGGAUCCCACCCCAAACCAUUCCCGGGGAUUUCCCGGUGGGAUCCCGAUCCCUGAUCCCGAUCCCGAUCCCGGAUCCAGGCCGGGUCUUACCUGAGCCCCGAGUCUUGGCGGCUUCUGGGGCGGCCCCGUGAAUUGUGCUGGGAAAAAAGAGGGAAAAUCAUUCCGGAAAAUUCCGGAAAAUUCCUGGAAUGCCAUGAAACCCCCGGGAUCCCGAUCCCAACGUUUUGGGAAUUUCGCUCGUGGGUGGGGGGGGAAAAACAUUCCCGAGGAAAAUUCCGGGUGGGAAUGGGGAGGAACUCACUGUAAUCCGUCUCCUUCUCCGGGAGGAGCUGAAAGGGGGGAAAAAAUCGGGAAUUAGAGACACCAAAAUUUGGGGAAAAGGGAGGAAAUGCCCCAAAAUUUGGGAUGGAGGGAGGAGAAACCCCAAAAUUUGGGAUGGAGGGAGGAGGAGCCCCAAAAAUUGGGAAAAAGGGGAGGAAAUGUCCCAAAAUUUGGGAGGGAGGGAGGAAAUGCCCCAAAAUUUGGGAUAAAUGGAGGAAAUGCCCCAAAAUUUGGGAUGGAGCCCCAAAAUUUGGGAUGGAGGGAGGAAAUGUCCCAAUAUUUGGGAUGGAGGGAGGAAAUGCCCCAAAAUUUUGGAUGGAACCCUAAAAUUUGGGAUGGAGGGAGGAGGAGUCUCAAAAUUUGGGAUGGAGGGAGGAAAUGCCCCAAAAUUUGGGAUGGAGGGAGGAAAUGCCCCAAAAUUUGGGAUGGAGGGAGGAAACACCCCAAAAUUUGGGAAAAGGGGAUGAAAUGUCCCAAAAUUUGGGAUAAAGAGGGGAAACGCCCCAAAAUUUGGGAUGGAGGGAGGAAACACCCCAAAAUUUGGGAUGGAGCCCUAAAAUUUGGGAUGGAGGAAGGAAACGCCCCAAAAUUUGGGAUGAAGGGAGGAAACACCCAAAAAUUGGGAAAAAGAGAGGAAAUGUCCCAAAAUUUGGGAUGGAGGGAGGAAAAACCCCAAAAUUUGGGAUGAAGAGAGGAAACGCCCCAAAAUUUUGGAUGGAAGCCUAAAAUUUGGGAUGGAGGGAGGAGGAGCCCCAAAAUUUGUGAUGGAGGGAGGAAAUGCCCCAAAAUUUGGGAUGGAGGGAGGAAAAA
ensembl:lncRNA